UGUGAGCGCGAAGAACCUUACCAGCCCUUGACAUGUCCAGGACCGGUCGCAGAGAUGUUCCCUUUUCUUCGGAGCCUGGAACACAGGUGCUGCAUGGCUGUCGUCAGCUCGUGUCGUGAGAUGUUGGGUUAAGUCCCGCAACGAGCGCAACCCCCGUCCUUAGUUGCUACCAUUUAGUUGAGCACUCUAAGGAGACUGCCGGUGAUAAGCCGCGAGGAAGGUGGGGAUGACGUCAAGUCCUCAUGGCCCUUACGGGCUGGGCUACACACGUGCUACAAUGGCGGUGACAAUGGGAAGCGAAGACGCAAGUCCUAGCAAAUCUCAAAAAGCCGUCUCAGUUCGGAUUGGGCUCUGCAACUCGAGCCCAUGAAGUUGGAAUCGCUAGUAAUCGUGGAUCAGCACGCCACGGUGAAUACGUUCCCCGGGCUUGUACACACGCACAAA
rnacentral:rRNA from 1 species